AAAAGAAAGAAAGAAAAAAGAAAAAAAACCCGAAUUAAUAUCAAGUCAAGUAUAUCGAUGUCUGUGUCUGAGCUGUUGUAGGGGAAUUGCUUGAGUCCAGGUCUCCAAAGCCAGCCUGGACACCAUAGCAAAACCCCAUUCUUUCCCUACUUCAAGAAAAAAAUUAGUUAAUGUUAACAUGUUACCCAAUCUGCGGGCGUACUCCUAAUUUCACUAAUUUAUCCCACAAAUACCAUUUUCUGGCUCCAAAGCCCCUCAUGAGUUUGUUGUUUACUUUUCUUUAAAAAUUAAAAAAAAAAUUUGCUAACUGGUAGUGGUGCAUGCCUUUAAUCUCAGCACUCAGGAGGCAGAGCCAGGCGGAUCUCUGUGAGUUUGAGGCCAGCCUGGGCUACAGAGUGAGUUCCAGGACAGCCAGGGCUACACAGAGAAACCUUGUCUCAAAGCAAAACAAAACUUAAAGAUUUUUACUUUUUACGUGGGUGGCUGUCUUGCUUGCAUAUGUGUCUGUGCACCAGCUGCACAGAGGCCAGAAGAGGGCGGUGGAGCCCCUGAAACUAGAAUUACAAACAGCCAUGUGAGUGCUGGGAAUUGAACCCGGGUCCUCUGGAAGAACAGCUAGUGCUCUUAAUUGCUGAGCCACCUCCCCAGCCCCUGUUGGUUAUUUUUCAAUAUUUUCUUUGUUUUUAUUUGUAUUUAUUUAUUUACUUUUUGAGACAGGGUCUGAUUCAGCACAGACUGGCCUGAACUGUGUGUCUCAAGGCUAGCUUUGAACUCCUGAUCUUCCUGCCCCUGUCUCUUAAGUACCCACAUUACAGGUGUGUACCACCAUGCCCUGCUGUACCCCCACCCCCAUUUUGGUUAUGUUCAUCAAGUUUGAUGUUAAUUUAUUCUGUUUUUGAACUUAGGGCUGCACUAGCUAGGCCUCAUUUGACACAUUGAAAUCAUGUGGAAGUUUUUUGUUGUUGUUGUUUUAUUAUUUCCUGUGGUGCUGGGGAUUCUGGGCCUGUGCUAGUCAAGUGCCCAGUCACUGGGGCCUGUCUAUCACUGGGCCCUAGCCCACUAGCCCUGGGGGUUAGUUUUAUACUUGCCUCAUAAAAAGAAGAUUGAUUUUCACUUUUAACGCUCUGCAGCCAUUUCUGGAGUAUUGGGACGGCAGGAUCUUUGUAGAUUUGGUAGAGUUUGGUGUGACACAGUCUGAAUCCAAUUUUUUUUUUUCUUUUAUGGUUGGGUUGUUGCCUGGCAAUUGUCUCUGUGCUCUUUGCUUUUCUUUUUCUUUUUUUCUUUCUUUCUUUUUCUCAUCUCUCUGCGACAGGAUUUCCGACUGGCCUCAAAUUCACAGAGAUCUGCCUGCGUCUGCCUCCUGAGUGCUGGGAUCAAAGGAACUUUUUUCUCCGAGUUCCCACUUGGAGAGAGUGUUGUUCUCUUCCCAUGGUGGUUUUUGAGUGACUGUGGGCUGCCCUCUCUCCUCUGGACUGUUUUCCUUCAGGCUGCUCUUGUUUCUCCAAAGG